rnacentral:snoRNA from 1 species
UUUUUGCCAAAAAUCACUACUCUGAUAGCAGUGGUUAAACAGAGGUACGCACAGCAAGUAGGUCUGCUGCUGUUAGGGGCUAUGGCUGUGCCCCUCAAAGUGAUGUGGAGAUUCUACACCC